UGCAGUCGAGCGGACAGAAGGGAGCUUGCUCCCGGAUGUUAGCGGCGGACGGGUGAGUAACACGUGGGUAACCUGCCUGUAAGACUGGGAUAACUCCGGGAAACCGGAGCUAAUACCGGAUAGUUCCUUGAACCGCAUGGUUCAAGGAUGAAAGACGGUUUCGGCUGUCACUUACAGAUGGACCCGCGGCGCAUUAGCUAGUUGGUGAGGUAACGGCUCACCAAGGCGACGAUGCGUAGCCGACCUGAGAGGGUGAUCGGCCACACUGGGACUGAGACACGGCCCAGACUCCUACGGGAGGCAGCAGUAGGGAAUCUUCCGCAAUGGACGAAAGUCUGACGGAGCAACGCCGCGUGAGUGAUGAAGGUUUUCGGAUCGUAAAGCUCUGUUGUUAGGGAAGAACAAGUGCAAGAGUAACUGCUUGCACCUUGACGGUACCUAACCAGAAAGCCACGGCUAACUACGUGCCAGCAGCCGCGGUAAUACGUAGGUGGCAAGCGUUGUCCGGAAUUAUUGGGCGUAAAGGGCUCGCAGGCGGUUUCUUAAGUCUGAUGUGAAAGCCCCCGGCUCAACCGGGGAGGGUCAUUGGAAACUGGGAAACUUGAGUGCAGAAGAGGAGAGUGGAAUUCCACGUGUAGCGGUGAAAUGCGUAGAGAUGUGGAGGAACACCAGUGGCGAAGGCGACUCUCUGGUCUGUAACUGACGCUGAGGAGCG
rnacentral:rRNA from 1 species